AAAUCGAACUCCUUCUUCUCGGCAUGCAGUCAGAGCAGGAAGGGUGUUGGGUUCACUCAGGAGCCAACCCUGGGAGGAGAAUUUAGGGGAAUUCUUGCUCCCUGCUGAUCAGUUCAGGAUUCCUGCCUAGAAAUCUCCACUGGGUGAACUCCCAUCAGCUGAGCAGAAUGAAGCUGUUGGCUUGUAUCUUCUUGGCCUCUCUUGCUGCUGCUGCUACUGCACAUCUACACACAGACCCGACGCUGGAUAACCACUGGGAGCUCUGGAAGAAAACCUAUGGCAAACAAUACAGCCACAAGAAAGAGGAAGGGGAACGGCGCGUGACCUGGGAAAAGAACCUCAAGCUCGUUAUGCUACAUAACCUCGAGCACUCACUGGGGCUGCAUUCCUAUGAGCUGGGCAUGAACCACCUGGCAGACAUGGUAAGUUAAAAAAAUAGAC